GCCUGGCGUAAACGGCCUUUCAACUAAUCGCUUCCAAUGAAGUUGGGGGGCAACCAACUUUUGAUUCAACUAAUCGCCUUUAAAAUUGCCUGGAAAAUCUCCGCAUGUGAACACCGUAUAAAAUUUAACCUUUGAACAUUUUUA